rnacentral:rRNA from 1 species
AUAAUCUACCCAGUAAUCCGGGAUAACAUCUCGAAAGAGAUGCUAAUACCUGAUAAGCCCACGAUCUCUUCGGAGAACGAGGGAAAAGGUGGGGACCUUCGGGCCUGCCGUUGCUGGAUGAGUCCGCGGCCCAUUAGCUAGUUGGUAGGGUAAUGGCCUACCAAGGCUACGAUGGGUAGCUGGUCUGAGAGGAUGAUCAGCCUCACUGGAACUGAGACACGGUCCAG